AUUGUUUCAUUUGUUUUGCAGGUCUGAAGUUUUAUGCACUGGAAGAAAUGAAGAUGCAAUGCCCAGUGAAAACAGAUGAAUUUUAAUAAGACACACUUUUGUCAGUGAGAGAUGCAUCCUUCAUAUUAUUCAGUGAACAAACAGGGGAAGACACCAUGAUUCUCCAACCAUCUACAAAAUAUUUAUGAUUCAAAAGAUUCAUUUAUGCUUGAAAGAUUCAAUGAUGUGAGACUCCUAAUCUCCCGGGAAGAAUCUCCUAAAAACGAUUAGUCGAUUGGGAUUGACAGUACGAGAGAGGACACAAGCAGCCCGCUGUCUGGGAAUCAUAAUGAAUCAGGAGGAGUUUUCCAGAGAGUUUUCAAUGGCUUGGUCUCAUGAGCUCACCAACAAAAACUGAAGAGCCAAAAAUACACCAUCCAUCAAAACACUGAUAGACCAGAGACUCAGUAGACGCACUUCUGUACCCUUCACACAUGUGCCAUGACUCCACCAACACGUGUUAGGAAUGACUGGACUCCGAGGUCAGUCCCUCAGGAUUUGUGGUUGAAGAGUGAAGGCUAGGUCUCUGGGUUGGGCGU